rnacentral:pre_miRNA from 1 species
GAGACACCCUUAUGGGGGGGCAGGACUUGCUUCAAUGGGGCUUUGGUACUCACUGUGUCUGCCCCUUGAGUGUGUCGCU